rnacentral:rRNA from 1 species
UACGUAGGGUGCGGGCGUUAAUCGGAAUUACUGGGCGUAAAGCGCGCGCAGGCGGCUCCUUAAGUCAGAUGUGAAAUCCCCGGGCUUAACCUGGGAACUGCGUUUGAAACUGAGGGGCUUGAGUGUGGAAGAGGGGGGUGGAAUUCCAGGUGUAGCAGUGAAAUGCGUAGAGAUCUGGAGGAACACCGAUGGCGAAGGCAGCCCCCUGGGCUAAUACUGACGCUCAUGCACGAAAGCGUGGGGAGCAAACAGGAUUAGAAACCCUGGUAGU